rnacentral:lncRNA from 1 species
UGUCUUAUAGUCAAAACCACACAUGUCUUUCAUCUGAAAUGAAACCGAAGCGAAAAAAAAUACGACGUCAACACAGCGGUGCGAAAAUCUCAGUGUCCGUGCUCUUUUGAAAUCCAUUGGUGAAUGCAGUUAUGUAAAACGCAGCGCUAGAAUGAGAAGCAACAACAUUCAACCAGUUCCCGGGCAGCUGCCGACAAAGUAUUCAUUCCUCAAUGUUAGUGAAAAAGGACCAGACCCAAGCCAGAACCAAGGAAAUAAGCCGAAUUCAACGAAUCCGAUGUUUUUGGGAGCUUAUCCAUCGUUUGGGACCUACAACAUCACAUUGCGCAGUGCUCCGAGGUGUUAUCAAUAUAAAGGUGACAAUUAGUGCAAAUCAAGCGUGUGAUAGAAUAAGGGCGUAAAUAA